AAAGGAAUGACGGGGGGCCUGCACAAGCGUGGGAGCAUGUGUUUAUUUCGAAGCAACGCGCAGAACCUUACCAACGUUGNACAUCCUCAUCGCGAUUUCCAGAGAUGGAUUUCUUCAGUUCGGCUGGAUGAGUGACAGGUGCUGCAUGGCUGUCGUCAGCUCGUGUCGUGAGAUGUUGGGUUAAGUCCCGCAACGAGCGCAACCCUCGCCUUUAGUUGCCAUCAUUUAGUUGGGUACUCUAAAGGAACCGCCGGUGAUAAGCCGGAGGAAGGUGGGGAUGACGUCAAGUCCUCAUGGCCCUUACGCGUUGGGCUACACACGUGCUACAAUGGCGACUACAGUGGGCAGCGACCAUGCGAGUGGAAGCUAAUCUCCAAAAGUCGUCUCAGUUCGGAUUGUUCUCUGCAACUCGAGAGCAUGAAGGCGGAAUCGCUAGUAAUCGCGGAUCAGCAUGCCGCGGUGAAUACGUUCCCAGGCCUUGUACACACCGCCCGUCACACCAUGGGAGUUGGUUUCACCCGAAGGCAGUGCGCUAACCGCAAGGAGGCAGCUGACCACGGUGGGAUCAGCGACUGGGGUGAAGUCGUAACAAGGUAGCCGUAGGGGAACCUGCGGCUGGAUCACCUCCUUAAGCUUGGAUCCCGGG
rnacentral:rRNA from 1 species